UGCCGGAGAAGCUGGAGUCGAGGAAGUCGCAGUCGCCGUCGGGACCUGCAAAGGAAGUCUAAACCGGAGGUGGGGUUGCUCCUGCAAGACCCUCCGAUGCUCAAGUCAGUUCUCUGCCUCAACAAGAAUGGAGUGCUCGAACGGAGAAUUUAGCAGAAUUUUUAGAUGAAAGAUGAGAGCUUAUAGAAUAACGUACCUGGGGUUCUCCUUUUAUAGAUGGAGGGGGCAACAAAUUGAUAGCGACGCCUGUAACCGUC
rnacentral:lncRNA from 1 species